rnacentral:sRNA from 1 species
GUUUGCACUUGUCGGGGAAGGGUGAGAACCUUCGAUUAAGGUUCGACUCGAGCGAAAGCGAGAGAACGUUGCCAACGGCAACGGCCCGUAGGGUGAGGAGCGAAGCGACGAAUAAUCCUUCCCCUACCACC